UGUGCGUGCGUGUGUGUGCGCGUGUAAAAAAUACAGGGAGUAAGGAGAACGAGGGGAAGUGGGGAGGGAGGAGUGUUGUUGUUUUCACCGAUUUAUCACCUCAAGAAUCCUUUUAUUUGUUUCAUGAAGUAGAGCAGGAUACGAGCGAGUUUGUUUUGAACUAGUUUUCCUGGAAAGUGGCGAUGUUUGUGCAUAGGAGCUGGACUCGCUUGCGGACAAAAUAAUCUGGCACCUGUCCAGGCGUGCUCACAAAGUGUGGUGUACUGUACGGUAUGCGGAUGUUAUAAAAAGUAGCAUAGAAAGUCGUUGUCUCGACAAUGUCCUGCCACUGGCUACAGAUGGGCUGGGACGAGAGGCUGAGGCUGAGGACCUGCGCAACUCCCCCUCACUGUAAUUCAAGUCAAGCGCAAGGCAUGACUCCAUUCAGUCUACAAACAAAAACGCAGCGAGCGGAAGUCCAACAGCAGACUACCCGUGCCCAUACGCCAAUACUGCAGGCGAACCUUCCGAGCACGGAUAGGCCUGAUCUGUCAUCUCUGGACCAACAGUCACCAUCAACAGACCAAUUUAGGAAAUCAUGGUCACCUUCACAAGCGAAGAACGAGCAACAACAUUAAUACACCCGAAUCACACCGCCAAUUUAAUUCAUCAUUCAUACUAUCGGGACAAGGCAGCCGGGUUGGGUUUUUUCUUCUUUGGGAGCGGGCAAAAGAAAAAGGCUAUCAAUUGAGCACAAUACGACCUCAAGCAACAACAUUCGACUGCCACACUCAAAACCAAACAAUUUGUUUUUCAAGGUUACGAGUCGAACCGGUCAGAAGUGAACAGCUUGCAGGCUUAAACUAAUCACAAGGUCAGGGUCACAUUUGUAUUUCACUUUUUUUUUUGCGCGCGUGAAAUGCGAGAAAGAACGGUGCCGAUUCGGAGAGGCUGAUAAGAGAGAUAAUAUCCAAAUUUCCCACACCUGUCGGAUACAAGAUAGAGCUGGGCGAAGGAUCAAUUCUGGAACCGAUUUCCCCGAUUAAUCCUACGAAUGAAAAGUUCCGACUCCUCCUUACGUAAACCAGAAGUUACCAGUUACUUUAAUCAUUAAAAUCUUCUUUUUUUUCAAAUUAUUUUUGA